CAAAAAUGGUAUUCAUCUAUUUCUUACUGCUUAUUGCUAUCGGCAGUCAGUUCGGAAAAGCGAAAUCAAACGACAAUGGCAAGAAUAUUUGUGUCUCCGAAGACUUUAUGAGAUCGCUGAUGAAAGAAAACUGCAAAAACUCCGAGCCUGCCCAUAAAAACAGACCUGUAUUUUUUGCAUCCAUGAAAAAGCACCCGUUUACUCUUAAUGGAGUAAAUGAUGUAAUCACGUUCGAUGACGUCAAGAUUAACAGGGGUGGUGGAUAUAAUCCUUCCAAUGGCGUCUUUACCGCACCGAGAAGUGGACUAUAUCACAUAGCAUGCAUGCUUCUUGGAAUGAAAGCAAACCUUGUACAGUUCGGUCUGAUGAAAAAUGAUUCAAUUUACAUCUUUGGUCAUGUCAGUAACCAUGGCUUUGAAUCACAGACUGUAAGUGCAAUACUGGACCUAAAGAAAGGUGACCGUGUUUAUAUAAAACACAGAGUAAAUGGAGCUCAGCAAAUUGUGGGCGGUCAUCACUCUACUUUCUCUGCUUACUUUUUACAAGAAUAAAUAAAAUAGUUACUGUU